UGAGGAAUAUUGGUCAAUGGUCGAGAGACUGAACCAGCCAAGUCGCGUGAAGGAUGACUGCCCUAUGGGUUGUAAACUUCUUUUACAAGGGAAUAAAAUGAGAUACGGGUACUUUAUUGCAUGUACCUUGGGAAUAAGCAUCGGCUAACUCCGUGCCAGCAGCCGCGGUAAUACGGAGGAUGCGAGCGUUAUCCGGAUUUAUUGGGUUUAAAGGGUGCGUAGGUGGGCUGUUAAGUCAGCGGUGAAAGUUUGUCGCUUAACGAUAAAAUUGCCGUUGAAACUGGUAGUCUUGAGUAUAGAUGAAGUAGGCGGAAUGCGUGGUGUAGCGGUGAAAUGCAUAGAGAUCACGCAGAACUCCGAUUGCGAAGGCAGCUUACUAAGGUAUAACUGACACUGAAGCACGAAAGCGUGGGUAUCAAACAGG
rnacentral:rRNA from 1 species